rnacentral:rRNA from 1 species
UGGGGAAUUUUGGACAAUGGGCGCAAGCCUGAUCCAGCCAUGCCGCGUGCGGGAAGAAGGCCUCCGGGUUGUAAACCGCUUUUGUCAGGGAAGAAAUCUUCUGAGUUAAUACCUCGGGAGGAUGACGGUACCUGAAGAAUAAGCACCGGCUAACUACGUGCCAGCAGCCGCGGUAAUACGUAGGGUGCAAGCGUUAAUCGGAAUACUGGGCGUAAAGCGUGCGCAGGCGGUUUUGUAAGACAGAGGUGAAAUCCCCGGGCUCAACCUGGGAACUGCCUUUGUGACUGCAAGGCUUGAGUGCGGCAGAGGGGGAUGGAAUUCCGCGUGUAGCAGUGAAAUGCGUAGAUAUGCGGAGGAACACCGAUGGCGAAGGAAUCCCCUGGGCCUGCACUGACGCUCAUGCACGAAAGCGUGGGGAGCAAAACAGGAUUAGAUACCCUGGUAGUCCACGCCCUAAACGAUGUCAACUGGCUUGUUGGGAAAGGUUCCUUCUCAGUAACGUAGCUAACGCGUGAAGUUGACCGCCUGGGGAGUACGG